GAAAUUGUUUCAUUUUAAAACAUUAUUUUUUCGUUGUUUUUAGUAAAUGUAUUAUUUAUUAUAAUUUUUUUGUCUUUGGAUUUGUCUUCCUCGGGAAUAAGAUAUUUUAUAAUAAUACGCCAUCUCAGCUCCUGGUUAAAUGGAAGGAUACUACAAAUCUGGCCUCCAUAUAAGUGGUCUGUAGCUUCGACAUGAUAGGUGUGAAAUUUUAAACGUUCUUGUUGUUGAUUGGAUAGGAAGGGUGCCAUAAUCUAGCCUCCAUGCUAGGUACAUAGCCUCCAUACGGUACUUAAAUUAUUUAAUAUUUUAUUCAAGUGGACAAUAAAGGUAAAACACAAACAA